AUUGAACGCUGGCGGAAUGCUUUACACAUGCAAGUCGAACGGCAGCACGGACUUCGGUCUGGUGGCGAGUGGCGAACGGGUGAGCAAUAUAUCGGAACGUGCCCAGGCGUGGGGGAUAACGUAGUGAAAAUUACGCUAAUACCGCAUACGAUCUAUGGAUGAAAGCGGGGGACCUUUGGGCCUCGCGCGAUUGGAGCGGCCGAUAUCAGAUUAGGUAGUUGGUGGGGUAAAGGCUCACCAAGCCAACGAUCUGUAGCUGGUCUGAGAGGACGACCAGCCACACUGGGACUGAGACACGGCCCAGACUCCUACGGGAGGCAGCAGUGGGGAAUUUUGGACAAUGGACGCAAGUCUGAUCCAGCCAUUCCGCGUGCAGGACGAAGGCCUUCGGGCUGUAAACUGCUUUUGUACAGAACGAAAAGGUUUCUAUUAAUAUUAGGAGCUCAUGACGGUACUGUAAGAAUAAGCACCGGCUAACUACGUGCCAGCCGCCGCCGUAA
rnacentral:rRNA from 1 species